GCAGGCUGCAACUCGCCUGCAUGAAGUUGGAAUUGCUAGUAAUGGCAGGUCAGCAUACUGCCGUGAAUACGUUCCCGGGCCUUGUACACACCGCCCGUCACACCAUGAGAGUUGGGGAUACCCGAAGCCUGUGAGCUAACAUUUUAGAGGCAGCAGUCGAAGGUAGAAUCAAUGAUUGGGGUGAAGUCGUAACAAGGUACC
rnacentral:rRNA from 1 species